UACUACUGUAUGUCAAGAACACGGCGACCCGAUAUACACAUUGUUUGUUAAUAGCCUGCCUACAGUGCCUAGUGGCUGCUUUUAAUAUAAAUAUUCUAUGAGACUAUGACUAUGUUCAGUUACGUUAGAAUGAAAUCUUUUUCCAGAGAAAUCCAAUUGAUUUGUACAUUGUACAUUUGUACAUCAGUUAUUUCGGUACAAUUAGCUUGUGACAGUUGCUUAUAAAAGCGUUUUGAGACCCCUGUGUUAAAUUAACCAGGCAUUUAUCAAUUAAUUCCCAACUAGAAAUUGCGUCAACAAUUUUCCAUCGCGUCAUCUUUGACUGUCUUCAGACCACUGCCAAAAAUGAAGCCCAGAAUUGCCGGUUUCAUACUCAAAUGAGUCUAUAUAGAAAAUUGAGUUCACUGAGUUAAUUCUUAUUCAUUGGUGAGCGGAUUUCCCAACAGGCAGGCUAUUGCCUAAUUGAUAAGGGAUCCGAGGUACCUACGAUUUUAACGUCCUUAUCCAAGAAGACGCGAAAGUGUGGUCAUUUACAGAUGUCAAUGUAAAGGUAGCACUUUCUCCUCA